rnacentral:misc_RNA from 1 species
CCCAAAGUAUCAAUUUAUUUCAUUCUAUACAGUUAAACAACAUUGGCAUCAAGCUUUAAGCGAUGGCCCCAACUUUUGCAAGGUCUUCAAGGGCCUUAAAGAUCUGCGCUGCCUCAGUUUAACCUUCCAAUCAAAUGCACAUCUCAACGCCCAUAUCAUAUCUAGCCCAUAAUUGAGGCUCGAUUCCACUAGACUCACGGAUCAGGAUCGGAAGCUUAGCGCUCAGAGUCUUGAGAUCCUUGUAAUUUUUCUUCACGAAUGCUCUAGUCGAUGAUCUUGAAGGUGAAGAUUGGCACAGCAGAAUACGAAACUCCUUAAGAUUCCGAGAAAGUUGCCCUCUCCAUGCCAUUUUCUAUUCUCCCGAUUUUUCAAUAUGCUCAAAUGCUUCUCAGCUUCGUUC